UUGGCCUGAAGAAGAGCUUGCGUCUGAUUAGCUAGUUGGUGGGGUAAGAGCCUACCAAGGCGACGAUCAGUAGCUGGUCUGAGAGGAUGAGCAGCCACACUGGGACUGAGACACGGCCCAGACUCCUACGGGAGGCAGCAGUGGGGAAUUUUCCGCAAUGGGCGAAAGCCUGACGGAGCAACGCCGCGUGA
rnacentral:rRNA from 1 species